CUUUUUCAGCCUUCUCACAUUGCAGCACGAGAGUCCCUUAGACAUGCUGGCUGCUCAUUUGAUAAUCUGUGUUUUGCUCAGUACAAAAGGUUGCUGGCUAAGUUUUGUGAGCCCCUCUAACGUCAGGCUGGCAGUAUCUUGGGUUCAAUUAACAAGAAAGUCUACAGUAACAUUUUGUCAAUGGGGAAGGACUUGAAUUCACAGAACUGUCUCGGAAAGCCCUGGAAAAACAGGACAAAGAAACCUGUGUGAAUUUUCAGCUUUUCACCUUCUCUGAUUUUAUUUCUUCCUCACUCUUCCUUUGACAGUCCUCGCAGUCCGCCUGAGAGAGUAGAGAAGACCCCCUCCCAGAACCUUCCUGUAAGGUCUCCCCGCUGACUUCCUGUAGUGGAUGUGACUGUGUGCCAGGUGCCUGCCGAAGACCCCUGUCACUGACUGUGCCCUUUGGGAAAGAGUCAACAAUGGCCUCCUCCUAUGGCUGACUUCGUUCAUGUUCAGGCUCUCCAGCUUGCUAGUGAGAAUUGCCAAGGAUUGGUUCAUGGCAGGAUAGAACUAAACUGAUAGAUGAAAGCUCCACAGUGCUUCAAGACGGGGUCCCGUUCAUGUUAAGCAGUUUUCCUUCCUUCAAAAUAAAAAACUAGCAGUCCUUA
rnacentral:lncRNA from 1 species